AACGCGAAGAACCUUACCAACCUUUGACAUCCCGAUCGCGGACACCAGAGAUGGAGUCCUUCAGUUCGGCUGGAUCGGAGACAGGUGCUGCAUGGCUGUCGUCAGCUCGUGUCGUGAGAUGUUGGGUUAAGUCCCGCAACGAGCGCAACCCUCGCCCUUAGUUGCCAUCAUUUAGUUGGGCACUCUAAGGGGACUGCCGGUGAUAAGCCGCGAGGAAGGUGGGGAUGACGUCAAGUCCUCAUGGCCCUUACAGGUUGGGCUACACACGUGCUACAAUGGCGGUGACAGUGGGACGCAAAGGGGCAACCCUGUGCAAAUCUCAAAAAGCCGUCUCAGUUCGGAUUGGAGUCUGCAACCCGACUCCAUGAAGCUGGAAUCGCUAGUAAUCGCGGAUCAGAACGCCGCGGUGAAUACGUUCCCGGGCCUUGUACACACCGCUCGCGA
rnacentral:rRNA from 1 species